AUUGAACGCUGGCGGCAGGCCUAACACAUGCAAGUCGAACGAGUGGCGGAUGGGUGAGUAAUGUCUGGGAAACUGCCUGAUGGAGGGGGAUAACUACUGGAAACCGUAGCUAAUACCGCAUACCAUCAGAUGUGCCCAGAUGGGAUUAGCUAGUUGGUGGGGUAACGGCGCACCAAGGCGACGAUCCCUAGCUGGUCUGAGAGGAUGACCAGCCACACUGGAACUGAGACACGGUCCAGACUCCUACGGGAGGCAGCAGUUGGGAAUAUUCCACAAUGGGCGCAAGUCUGAUGCAGCCAUGCCGCGUGUAUGAAGAAGGCCUUCGGGUUGUAAAGUUCUUUCGGCGGGGAGGCGUUACCCGCAGAAGAAGCACCGGCUAACUCCGUGCCAGCAGCCGCGGUAAUUC
rnacentral:rRNA from 1 species